rnacentral:rRNA from 1 species
UACGUAGGGGGCAAGCGUUGUCCGGAUUUAUUGGGUGUAAAGAGCGUGUAGGCGGUUCGGUAGGUCCGUUGUGAAAACUCGAGGCUCAACCUCGAGACGCCGAUGGAAACCCCCGAACUAGAGUCCGGAAGAGGAGAAUGGAAUUCCUGGUGUAGCGGUGAAAUGCGCAGAUAUCAGGAAGAACACCCGUGGCUAAGGCGGUUCUCUAGUACGGUACUGACGCUGAGACGCGAAAGCGUGGGGAGCGAACAGG